rnacentral:rRNA from 1 species
GACGAACGCUGGCGGCGUGCUUAACACAUGCAAGUCGAACGGAAAGGCCCUGCUUUUGUUGGGUGCUCGAGUGGCGAACGGGUGAGUAACACGUGAGUAACCUGCCCUUGACUUUGGGAUAACUUCAGGAAACUGGGGCUAAUACCGGAUAGGAGCUCCUGCUGCAUGGUGGGGGUUGGAACGUUUCGGCGGUUGGGGAUGGACUCGCGGCUUAUCAGCUUGUUGGUGGGGUAGUGGCUUACCAAGGCUUUGACGGGUAGCCGGCCUGAGAGGGUGACCGGCCACAUUGGGACUGAGAUACGGCCCAGACUCCUACGGGAGGCAGCAGUGGGGAAUAUUGCACAAUGGGCGGAAGCCUGAUGCAGCAACGCCGCGUGCGGGAUGACGGCCUUCGGGUUGUAAACCGCUUUCGCCUGUGACGAAGCGUGAGUGACGGUAAUGGGUAAAGAAGCACCGGCUAACUACGUG